AUUGAACGCUGGCGGCGUGCUUAACACAUGCAAGUCGUGCGGUAACAGGCGUAGCAAUACGUGCUGACGAGCGGCGAACGGGUGCGUAAUACAUGGGAAUCUGCCCUUUAGUGGGGAAUAACCCGGCGAAAGCCGGGCUAAUGCCGCAUAAGAUCUUCGGAUGAAAGCGGGGGAGUCGUAAGACCUCGCGCUGAUGGAUGAGCCCAUGUCGGAUUAGCAGUUGGUGAGGUAACGGCUCACCAAGGCGACGAUCCGUAGCUGGUCUGAGAGGACGGCCAGCCACACUGGGACUGAGACACGGCCCAGACUCCUACGGGAGGCAGCAGUGGGGAAUAUUGGACAAUGGGCGAAAGCCUGAUCCAGCCAUGCCGCGUGUGUGAAGAAGGCCU
rnacentral:rRNA from 1 species